rnacentral:rRNA from 1 species
UACGUAGGGGGCUAGCGUUGUCCGGAUUUAUUGGGCGUAAAGAGCGUGUAGGCGGCCAGGUAGGUCUGCUGUGAAAACUCGAGGCUCAACCUCGAGACGUCGGCGGAAACCAUCUGGCUAGAGUCCGGAAGAGGUGAGUGGAACUCCUAGUGUAGAGGUGGAAUUCGUAGAUAUUAGGAAGAACACCAGUGGCGAAGGCGGCUCACUGGUCCGGUACUGACGCUGAGGUGCGAAAGCGUGGGGAGCAAACAGG